UCUUUAGGACAUUGGUUCACUGACCACAAGUUUGGUCUCUAGAAAUGUUAUCCAGACUCAGAGGUCUUUGGGAGAGGGAAUGGACAGCAUGGAGAGACCAGAGUGAGGCAGAAGGAAGCUGGUCCUAGAUCUCCCUGGAAAACAUGGGGGAAUAAGUUGUCCUGGGGAAGACUCAGGACUACAGAGGAGGCACCAUCCCAAAUCUCCACCUCCACUGGGCUGGAGCAGCAGAUGAAAAAAACAGAGAAACUCACAAGCCGGCUACAUAAUAUGACAAGAAAGAGAAAUGAGCUGCGUGGAAUUUUAGCCAAUUACACCAACAAGGAUUUGAACAACAGGCUGAAUUUUGAGCUUGAGAUGCUCAAAAUGGAGCAUAAGCAGGUGAUGUCUGACCUGCAGAAAUUGCUCAUAGAGAUCAUUGGUGCCUUGGACAAGUGCACGGGGCUG